rnacentral:rRNA from 1 species
AUUGAACGCUGGCGGCAGGCCUAAAACAUGCAAGUCGAACGAGUGGCGGAAGGGUGAGUAAUGUCUGGGAAACUGCCUGAUGGAGGGGGAUAACUACUGGAAACGGUAGCUAAUACCGCAUCCCCUCAGAUGUGCCCAGAUGGGCUUUGCUUGUUGGUGGGGUAAAGGCUCACCAAGGCGACGAUCCCUCGCUGGUCUGAGAGGAUGAACAGCCACACUGGAACUGAGACACGGUCCAGACUCCUACGGGAGGCAGCAGUGGGGAAUAUUGCACAAUGGGCGCAAGCCUGAUGCAGCCAUGCCGCGUGUAUGAAGAAGGCCUUCGGGUUGUAAAGUACUUUCAGCGGGGAGGCGUUACCCGCAGAAGAAGCACCGGCUAACUCCGUGCCAGCCGCCGCGGUAAUAC